CGAGUCAUUGUAGCAAUACAGGCAUACGGCUCAGUAACGCGUAGUCAACCUAACCUAUGGACGGGAAUAACCUCGGGAAACUGAGAAUAAUGCCCGAUAGAACAUUAUGCCUGGAAUGGUUUAUGUUCCAAAUGAUUUAUCGCCGUAGGAUGGGACUGCGGCCUAUCAGUUUGUUGGUGAGGUAAUGGCCCACCAAGACUAUUACAGGUACGGGCUCUGAGAGGAGUAGCCCGGAGAUGGGUACUGAGACACGGACCCAGGCCCUAUGGGGCGCAGCAGGCGAGAAAACUUUGCAAUGUGCGAAAGCACGACAAGGUUAAUCCGAGUGGUUUCUGCUAAAGAAACCUUUUGUCAGUCCUAGAAACACUGAUGAAUAAGGGGUGGGCAAGUUCUGGUGUCAGCCGCCGCGGUAAAACCAGCACCUCAAGUGGUCAGGAUGAUUAUUGGGCCUAAAGCAUCCGUAGCCGGCUCUGUAAGUUUUCGGUUAAAUCUGUACGCUCAACGUACAGGCUGCCGGGAAUACUGCAGAGCUAGGGAGUGGGAGAGGUAGACGGUACUCGGUAGGAAGGGGUAAAAUCCUUUGAUCUAUUGAUGACCACCUGUGGCGAAGGCGGUCUACCAGAACACGUCCGACGGUGAGGGAUGAAAGCUGGGGGAGCAAACCGGAUUAGAUACCCGGGUAGUCCCAGCUGUAAACUAUGCAAACUCAGUGAUGCAUUGGCUUGUGGCCAAUGCAGUGCUGCAGGGAAGCCGUUAAGUUUGCCGCCUGGGAAGUACGUACGCAAGUAUGAAACUCAAAGGAAUUGACGG
rnacentral:rRNA from 1 species